rnacentral:rRNA from 1 species
CCUACGGGAGGCAGCAGUGGGGAAUAUUGGGCAAUGGGCGCAAGCCUGACCCAGCAACGCCGCGUGAAGGAAGAAGGCUUUCGGGUUGUAAACUUCUUUUAUCAGGGACGAAGCAAGUGACGGUACCUGAUGAAUAAGCCACGGCUAACUACGUGCCAGCAGCCGCGGUAAUACGUAGGUGGCAAGCGUUAUCCGGAUUUACUGGGUGUAAAGGGUGUGGAGGCGGGAGUGAAAGUCAGAUGUGAAAACGAUGGGCUCAACCCAUAGCCUGCAUUUGAAACUGUACUUCUUGAGUGCUGGAGAGGCAAUCGGAAUUCCGUGUGUAGCGGUGAAAUGCGUAGAUAUCACGCAGAACCCCGAUUGCGAAGGCAGCAUACCGGUGCACAACUGACGCUCAGGCACGAAAGCGUGGGUAUCGAACAGGAUUAGAUACCCGGGUAGUC